rnacentral:misc_RNA from 1 species
GAUGAAGAACGUAGCGAAAUGCGAUAAGUAGUGUGAAUUGCAGAAUUCAGUGAAUCAUCGAAUCUUUGAACGCACAUUGCGCCCUUUGGUAUUCCUUAGGGCAUGCCUGUUCGAGCGUCAUUUAAACCUUCAAGCUAAGCUUGGUGUUGGGUGACUGUCCGCUUCACGGCGGACUCGCCUCAAAAUGAUUGGCGGCCGGUACAUUGGCUUCGAGCGCAGCAGAAACGCGAACUCGGGCCCGUCGUAUUGGCUCCCAGAAGCUAUCUUCACAAUUUUGACCUCGGAUCAGGUAGGGAUACCCGCUGAACUUAAGCAUAUCAAUAAGCGGAGGA